UUUAUUUAUUAAUUACAUUGUACUAAAAUUGGAACGAUACAGAGAAGAUUAGCCUGGCCCCUGUGCAAGAAAAUUAUCUUUUAAAAGUUAAAUUGUAUCUGCUU